ACGCUAGCUACAGGCUUAACACAUGCAAGUCGAGGGGCAGCAUUUUAGUUUGCUUGCAAACUGAAGAUGGCGACCGGCGCACGGGUGAGUAACACGUAUCCAACCUGCCGAUAACUCCGGAAUAGCCUUUCGAAAGAAAGAUUAAUACCGGAUAGCAUACGAAUAUCGCAUGAUAUUUUUAUUAAAGAAUUUCGGUUAUCGAUGGGGAUGCGUUCCAUUAGUUUGUUGGCGGGGUAACGGCCCACCAAGACUACGAUGGAUAGGGGUUCUGAGAGGAAGGUCCCCCACAUUGGAACUGAGACACGGUCCAAACUCCUACGGGAGACAGCAGUGAGGAAUAUUGGUCAAUGGGCGAGAGCCUGAACCAGCCAAGUAGCGUGAAGGAUGAAGGCUCUAUGGGUCGUAAACUUCUUUUAUAUGGGAAUAAAGUUUUCCACGUGUGGAAUUUUGUAUGUACCAUAUGAAUAAGGAUCGGCUAACUCCGUGCCAGCAGCCGCGGUAAUACGGAGGAUCCGAGCGUUAUCCGGAUUUAUUGGGUUUAAAGGGAGUGUAGGUGGAUUGUUAAGUCAGUUGUGAAAGUUUGCGGCUCAACCGUAAAAUUGCAGUUGAAACUGGCAGUCUUGAGUACAGUAGAGGUGGGCGGAAUUCGUGGUGUAGCGGUGAAAUGCUUAGAUAUCACGAAGAACUCCGAUUGCGAAGGCAGCUCACUAGACUGUCACUGACACUGAUGCUCGAAAGUGUGGGUAUCAAACAGGAUUAGAUACCCUGGUAGUCCACACAGUAAACGAUGAAUACUCGCUGUUUGCGAUAUACAGUAAGCGGCCAAGCGAAAGCAUUAAGUAUUCCACCUGGGGAGUACGCCGGCAACGGUGAAACUCAAAGGAAUUGACGGGGGCCCGCACAAGCGGAGGAACAUGUGGUUUAAUUCGAUGAUACGCGAGGAACCUUACCCGGGCUUAAAUUGCAACAGAAUAUAUUGGAAACAGUAUAGCCGUAAGGCUGUUGUGAAGGUGCUGCAUGGUUGUCGUCAGCUCGUGCCGUGAGGUGUCGGCUUAAGUGCCAUAACGAGCGCAACCCUUAUCUUUAGUUACUAACAGGUCAUGCUGAGGACUCUAGAGAGACUGCCGUCGUAAGAUGUGAGGAAGGUGGGGAUGACGUCAAAUCAGCACGGCCCUUACGUCCGGGGCUACACACGUGUUACAAUGGGGGGUACAGAAGGCGGCUACCUGGUGACAGGAUGCUAAUCCCAAAAACCUCUCUCAGUUCGGAUCGAAGUCUGCAACCCGACUUCGUGAAGCUGGAUUCGCUAGUAAUCGCGCAUCAGCCAUGGCGCGGUGAAUACGUUCCCGGGCCUUGUACACACCGCCCGUCAAGCCAUGAAAGCCGGGGGUACCUGAAGUACGUAACCGCAAGGAGCGUCCUAGGGUAAAACUGGUAAUUGGGG
rnacentral:rRNA from 1 species